AUAUUUUCCCAAUUUUGUCUUCCAUCGAUACAAUGAAUUAUAUCAUACUAGACAUCUACUUCGUUUUGUGAAUAUGUAUUCGAUGCAAUCUCUAUCAUCAGUUUAAACAUUACAUCCACGUAUGUCGAUUAUUUGAAAGUUACGAACAUCUCUAUUGGUAUGAUGAAAAAAGUUACGGACAAGUUGUUUUGAAGUUACGGACAGCCUAAGUGUUUUUUAAAAUCGUGCUGUGAUCGUUUAUUUUGUAGAAUUUAAUCACCUUUCCAAUUUAGGGGUUUCCCUAAACGAUUAAUACAACUUUUAAAUUCAGUUGUUUAAUUGAUGCAUUCGUGGUAUUGUUAUUCUAUAGAAGAAAAGUAUCUAACCGACGCAAGGCGGCUCCAUCUUGGGCUGUGGGUAACUUAAGUUACCCACAGCCGUUUAAGCACAGUGAAGUU
rnacentral:lncRNA from 1 species